GCGUGAGGAACCUGUCUUUCAGUGGGGGACAACAGUUGGAAACGACUGCUAAUACCGCAUGAAGCAUUUAGGGGGCAUCCCCUGAAUGCCAAAGAUUUAUUGCUGAAAGAUGGCCUCGCGUCUGAUUAGCUAGUUGGAGGGGUAACGGCCCACCAAGGCGACGAUCAGUAGCCGGUCUGAGAGGAUGAACGGCCACAUUGGGACUGAGAUACGGCCCAGACUCCUACGGGAGGCAGCAGUGGGGAAUAUUGGGCAAUGGGGGAAACCCUGACCCAGCAACGCCGCGUGAAGGAAGAAGGCUUUCGGGUUGUAAACUUCUUUUACCAGGGACGAAGAAAGUGACGGUACCUGGAGAAAAAGCCACGGCUAACUACGUGCCAGCAGCCGCGGUAAUACGUAGGUGGCAAGCGUUGUCCGGAUUUACUGGGUGUAAAGGGCGUGUAGGCGGAGAUUCAAGUCAGGAGUGAAAACUAUGGGCUUAACCCAUAAACUGCUUUUGAAACUGAAUCCCUUGAGUAUCGGAGAGGCAGGCGGAAUUCCUAGUGUAGCGGUGAAAUG
rnacentral:rRNA from 1 species